ensembl:lncRNA
GUAGGAUCUUGCAUUCAGUCAGUUUGUCCCUGCUGUGUGCGCUCCCACCCAACGCCUCCAUUCUCUACCCCCUGCAGAGUCCUCUGAUUGCCGUGGAAACUGCACUUAAAGAGAAAAUUAGGAUUUCCUCCCUCCAAAUUUAAAAGUAUAUCUUAAUUGGUUUCAUUUAUUACAGAUGGGAAGGCAAAAUAAACCUCUUGUUUUAUUUGCUCACGGAGAUGAAAUAAAGACCAAAAAAUAAAUAAAAGUCAGCCUCAAGAAUGCUAACAGCAAUUUAAAUCAAAGAAAGCUGUUGCUCCUGCAACUGAGGCGACGUAAAAAAAAAAAAAAAAAAGAGCGGCACAAAAAGACGGAGAGAAGCCAAAUGUUUCAAGCUCACGGGGCACACGUUGCACACAUACAAACCCACCAAACCAGGCAACACUUAUCCUCAGAAACACCCUUCAGUGUGGACUCAAGAGGGCUGACUGUAGAUGUGGAAAAUUACUGCUCUGAUCUGACCACCCCUUGCACAAUCAAGACUGAAGCCUGUGGGUUCGGUGCAGGUAUAUUUAUCUCCUGUGACAACUAACCUUGCAUUCAUCCAGACACUCAGACGGAACUUAUAACAGAACAGAAAUCGUACACAUAUUCAGUGUAAACUAAAACAUGUUCCAUUUGUGGCUUCGUAAGUGCUGCAUGUGUCUGGGUUCACGUACAUGCCAUUUAAAUACCAGAACAAGGACGGAGCUUCGGGUAAAACACAGUUCUCAAGCAGAAACUGUCAUCGCUCUGCUUCUCCGGCCGUCUCUGUCCCACCCAAAAUACCCGUUCGCUAGGAGUCAGCAUGGACCAACACGUUGGUAACAGUGGCAAGAGUGAAAGGGUUGCAGUUGGAGCUCGGCAAUUGUGGCGCCAGCGUGUGAUUGUGGCAAGACAGCCUGACCGCUCAAAAAUGGCUGAGCUAACAAGGACAGGAGAGCAAGCGAGGUUUGCAGCUUUUGCAAGUGUUGACAAAGAAGAAGCGGCGAACGCAAAAGGGCGGGGAGAGAGUGGAAUGUGGAGUGGACAAUCCAAUUCUUUCUGUUGUUUGGUCAGCCCUUGAGGUCACCACAACAAUAAAUGGAUAUUUUGAAGAGGACCAAAUAAGAGGAAAUGCUUUUGGAAUGCGGUUAUCCAAGUUUCAACUUGGAAACCUUCAAGGACUCUCUGCCAAGUCUCAGGAAAACAACGCAUGCUGACAAAUUGGUUGAAUCGUGAUCAAAGCACCUGCCACACUGAGAACCUGAAACAGGCACCAUUUGGCAGUUCACAAGGUCACUUGUUUUGUAUGAGGAAAGAAGAUGUGCCAAAAUAUGCUUUCAAUCAUAUGCAUGUAGAUAAUAGCAUCUUUUUUUUUAAGUUAGCAAUGUGAAUGAUGCAUGAGAAUACGUUUUUAACAGUUCCAAACCUUUCCUAUUUUUCUUUCUUCUUUUUAAGCACCACUUGGCGUUCAUUAUGAUCUUUCUGGAUCUGGAGCUGUGUUUCAUUAAAUACCUGUUUUCUGUUACCUACUUUUUAAAAUUAGUGUCCUGCUGAGUUCAGUGCUUGUUGUGUGUUUUCUCUGUUUGUAAUGGCACACAAACAUGUAAACAUGAAAUAAAACACUUUGACCAAAUUCCAUUUAACUGCUUAUUAUUUUAUUCAUUAAUUAUUUUUUUUAUUUUUUUUGUUUUUUCCCAUUUGCAUGUUCUGUAGACGUUGUAAGAAAUUGAGAAGUGGUAAGGCAA